UACGUAGGGGGCUAGCGUUGUCCGGAAUCAUUGGGCGUAAAGCGCGUGUAGGCGGUCCGGUAAGUCCGCUGUGAAAGUCGGGGGCUCAACCCUCGAAAGCCGGUGGAAACUGUCGGGCUAGAGUACGGAAGAGGCGAGUGGAAUUCCUGGUGUAGCGGUGAAAUGCGUAGAUAUCGGAAGGAACAUCAGUGGCGAAAGCGGCUUCCUGGACCAGAACUGACGAUCAGGCACGAAAGCGUGGGGAGCAAACAGG
rnacentral:rRNA from 1 species